GAAAGCAGGGGAUCGUAAGACCUUGCGCUUUUGGAGCGGCCGAUGUCUGAUUAGCUAGUUGGUGGGGUAAUGGCCUACCAAAGCUUCGAUCAGUAGCUGGUCUGAGAGGACGGCCAGCCACACUGGGACUGAGACACGGCCCAGACUCCUACGGGAGGCAGCAGUGGGGAAUUUUGGACAAUGGGCGCAAGCCUGAUCCAGCCAUGCCGCGUGAGUGAAGAAGGCCUUCGGGUUGUAAAGCUCUUUCAGCCGGGAAGAAAAGGCUGCGACUAAUAAUCGCAGUUCAUGACGGUACCGGAAGAAGAAGCACCGGCUAACUACGUGCCAGCAGCCGCGGUAAUACGUAGGGUGCGAGCGUUAAUCGGAAUUACCGGGCGUAAAGGGUGCGCAGGCGGUUUUGUAAGUCAGAUGUGAAAUCCCCGGGCUUAACCUGGGAAUUGCGUUUGAAACUACAAGGCUAGA
rnacentral:rRNA from 1 species